CUCUGCUGAUCGUUAGCUCGAGUAAGAAAGUCGAGGUUGGCGUGUUACGAAGUCUAGAGUAUGAUGUAUAAUGAUAUACACAUUUGUGGCGUUUUACGAACCAUCCAAACAAAAGCGGAUAUGUUAUAUUUAAAAUGUAGCGAAUAUGGAUGAAAGGUUACAAAUAAGUUGGUUUACUUGGCAUGGUAACGUAAAUUGGCUUGUGAACGUAAGACGGCGCCAAAACGCCAUUCGUGCACACAACCACGUGCAGUCCUUUGCUCGGUAGCCUUCGAACAAGUUUAGAGUUAAGUUCACUUUAACCGAUAAUGGUGUACCGGGACAAGACAAUGGAAGGCAACAUUUGUUACCUUGUUUGCUAAGGAUAAGUAGUAACAAGAAGAAUGCGUGUUAUGUUUGAGUCUAAUGUAAACCAAGAUCAUUCGUGUGCCUCAACUGGAGUGACGUCUCAGUUGCCACAUUCAUGCGUAGGCCUACAGUGAACACUCAUGACUUUCUGGUAGCCGUACUCUGAACGGAUCCCAUGCGAGCAUGAUUGGUUUUGAGAUGGACAGUGGGAUGGCAGUGUCUGUGCAAAUGGAAUUCUUGGCAACAAGGCUUCUCCAACCUGAAGUUCCACACUUUGCUUUGGAUACAUUCCCUUUUUUGGACCAUCAGAUUGAAAAAUAAUUCAACAGGACGUCAUGAGACUGACAUGCUAUGAUGCCAUAUUGGCAAUCAAGAGGGCUUCAUGAGACGGCAUACAUUGUCAGCAUGUCAAGCAUUUGGUGAGUAUAAUGAAUGAAAAGGUGCCUUGUGCUUUAAUGUGUGUUUUGAUGAGCUUUCUAGACUAGUCUCUGAUUUUAACAUGAAGUGUUUUCACAGUGCACUGAACUCACACUGCAAAGACAUGGUCUAAUCUGUAGAUUAUUUAACAGAUGUGAUGAUUGUAAAAUAUUUAGUUUCAGGACCUGUGGACGAGGACCUUUUUUUGGGGGGGGGGGUAAGCAUAGUUGCUAUUGUCUAUACAAGUUAUCAAACUGUCAAUGAUGAUUGCAUUAUUGGUUCAACUGAUCAAUAUUGAUGUUUACUCGCAGCGCACUGAGACAUGUUAUAGCCACAUAAAAGUACAUAUUUUUAAACGGUUUACUGACUUGGUUUUUGCUUCACAGGGCAAUUCAAGGAUCUGUACAGUGGCAAAACUUCUUCCAUGGAGUUUUGUAGCGAAUACUCAUGAUGUUGGCAGAAAACCCUCAAGCUUUUGGUGCCUGACUGAAAAUGUACCAAGAUUGUUUUCAAUGCUGUUUUUGUUUGUUCCAAUAAAUACUAACAGGAUGUUUUAACCUGUGAAGUAAAA